UUCCAUCUUUAGCAAAAUCACAUUUAUUGCUGUAUUCAGAAGAAUAUAAACAGAUAUAAAAUGCUUACAGGUAAACUCCUAUUCAAUGUAAAAAAACAAACAAAUCCCAGGGCAAAACAUACAAUGUCACAGUUUGUAAUAGAUUAACGAAAAAAUCUGCUGAUUGCAUUGCCAUCGGCAACUGUAAAAUGUGCAGAGGGCAGCGAUGUCUGCGAGACAGUAUUAACAUAUAUAUGGCACCCCCUUCAGCAAAAGUCUUUAGCACGGGCUUCGUAUCUAACAGGCUCGCCAUAUGUAAUGUCACCAGACAAGGCUGUCCUCUUUCCCCCCUAAUAUUUAUCCUAUGCUUGGAACCGCUAAUAAGAAUAGUAAAAAAUGAUCCCAAUAUACAUGGGCUGCAUACCCAGGGGGGCGAAAAGAAACUAGCUCUGUUUGCCGAUGACAUACUGCUGUUUGUUACAAAACCAGAGUCCUCCCUUCCCAAUCUCAUGAGAACGCUGGUAGACUAUGGGAAGAUAUCGUACUAUAAAAACAACAUAACCAAAACGCAAGCUCUACCCAUAAACCUACCAAAACCUACAUUAGAAAGGAUUAAACCGCAGCACCCCUUCGAUUGGCGCACCAAUUCCUUAAAAUACUUAGGUGUAAACCUCACCAAAUCCCUUCAAACGGUGAUCAAAGAAAAUCACUUCCCCGUGCUAAAGAAAAUCAAAUCCUCCCUCGAACAGUGGGCUAGCAUGGAUACCUCCUGGCUAGGACGUAUUAAUCUAAUUAAAAUGAUGACACUUCCACACAUACUAUACUUAUUCAGAACCCUGCCCAUAUUCCUCCCGACUGCGCUGCUCAAACAAUUCCAAAGCACGAUCAAUGCACACAUCUGGAAGAGGAAGCCCCCGAGAGUGAAUAAAGGGUGUCUGGGUCUCCCUUACGUCCAAGGUGGACUGGGGAUGCCGGAUGUAACGGCAUACUACAGGGCCUCUUUCUUGGCACAGGGUCUGCGACUCAUUAGGAUCCAUAAUCUCCCCCGUAAACCGCUCUGGCUGUCAUUAGAAAAUGAAUGCCUAGAGGCACACGACACAGUCCAUUACUUGUGGACAUGCUCCACGCCCCGAACAUCUGCGGGCAUGACCCUGAGAUGCUCGAUCACUAUGCUUACAGCAUGGAAGACCUGGUGUCCGAAGGUACUGGACCCAGUACGGUUAUUUAGGGAGGCACCCAUCACGACACUAGCAGCCUACUCCCCAGGCAUACAGGUGGGCAAAUGGCUUAACAAGGGAGCGAGAUUAGUGAGGGAUUUAAUGUCAGGAGAUGCGGUGAAACCAUUCCCUGAAUUGAAAGAGGAACUGGGGUUAGACUUGAGAG